UACGUAGGGGCAAGCGUUGUCCGGAUUAUUGGGCGUAAAGAGCGUGUAGGCGGCCACACAGGUCUGCUGUGAAAACUCGAGGCUCAACCUCGAGCUGUCGGUGGAAACCGUGUGGCUAGAGUCCGGAAGAGGAGAGUGGAAUUCCCGGUGUAGCGGUGAAAUGCGCAGAUAUCGGGAAGAACACCCGUGGCGAAGGCGGCUCUCUGGGACGGUACUGACACUGAGAGACGAAAGCUAGGGGAGCGAAUGGG
rnacentral:rRNA from 1 species